GCCCGAUUAGCUCAGCUGGUUAGAGCGUCGUACUAAUAUCAUCCUUGAAGGGUAAUAUUUGGUGAUGCGAAGGUCAACAGUUCAAUCCUGUUAUUGGGCA